rnacentral:rRNA from 1 species
AGCGAACGCUGGCGGCGUGCCUAACACAUGCAAGUCGAACGUGAAAAGGGAAACCUGAGUCCAGUGGCGUACGGGUGAGUAACGCGUAGGUAAUCUACCCCAGAAUCUGGAAUUACCUGCCGAAAGGCGGGCUAAUACUGGAUAGACCGAGGGACCUCUUAAGAGAGUUUUUCGGGUAAGGUAGCCCGCCAGGGCCUUCGUUCUGGGAUGAGCCUGCGUCUCAUUAGCUAGUUGGUAAGGUAACGGCUUACCAAGGCGAUGAUGAGUAGCUGGUCUGAGAGGAUGAUCAGCCACACUGGAAAUGAAACACGGUCCAGACUCCUACGGGAGGCAGCAGUGGGGAAUCGUGCGCAAUGGACGAAAGUCUGAAGCAGCCACGCCGCGUGAGGGAAGAAGGCCUUCGGGUUGUAAAGCUCUGUCGGAUGGGAAGAACAUAUUCAUAGUGAAUAGCUAUGAGGACUGACGGUACCAACAAAGGAAGCACCGGCUAACUCCGUG